rnacentral:misc_RNA from 1 species
GAUGAAGAACGUAGCGAAAUGCGAUAAGUAGUGUGAAUUGCAGAAUUCAGUGAAUCAUCGAAUCUCUGAACGCACAUUGCGCCCCUUGGUAUUCCAUGGGGCAUGCCUGUUCGAGCGUCAUUUGUACCUUCAAGCUCUGCUUGGUGUUGGGUGUUUGUCUCGCCUCUGCGUGUAGACUCGCCUCAAAACAAUUGGCAGCCGGCGUAUUGAUUUCGGAGCGCAGUACAUCUCGCGCUUUGCACUCAUAACGACGACGUCCAAAAGUACAUUUUUACACUCUUGACCUCGGAUCAGGUAGGGAUACCCGCUGAACUUAAGCAUAUCAAUAAGCGGAGGA